AGUGGUUGACGGGUGUUUAAUUGUGGGAACAUAUCCUUUCCUGCUCUUUAGAUCCUUUCUUGAGGGAUGGGAGUGGCAUACGCCCUACGGGGGAAAGAUUUAUCGGGGAAGGAUUGGCCCGCGUUGGAUUAACUAGUUGGUGGGGUAAAGGCCUACCAAGGCGACGAUCCUUUAUUGGUCUGAGAUGAUGAUGCCCACAUUGGGACUGAGACACGGCCCAAACUCCUACGGGAGGCAGCAGUGGGGAAUAUUGGACAAUGGGCGCAAGCCUGAUCCAACCAUGCCGCGUGAGUGAUGAAGGCCUUAGGGUUGUAAAGCUCUUUCACCGAUAAAGAUGAUGACCGUAGUCGGAGAAGAAGCCCCGGCUAACUUCGUGCCAGCAUCCUCGGUAAUACUAAGGGGGCUAGCGUUGUUCGGAAUUACUGGGCGUAAACCGCACUUAAGCAGAUAUUUCAGUCAGGGGUGAAAUCCCGCAGCUCAACUGCGUAACUGUCUUUGAGACUGGGUAUCUUGAGUAUGGAGGACGUAAGUGGGAGUCCGAGUGCAGAGGUGAAAUUCAUAUAUAUUCUGAGGAACAGCAGUCCCGAGGGGCGGCUUACUGGUCCAUUACUGACGCUGCAGGAUGCGAAACUGUGCCGGAACGGCACAAGGAUUCACAUACUCUCGGUAGUGCACUACAUGAGAUAUUUAAUCUUAUUCCGUCUCGCGCAGUCUACUCGGUCCGUGAGCGCAGUAAUGACACCUGAUAGUCGCCCUGGGCAGUGGGGGGUGCUGCAUAUCACUCGAGGAUAUUCUGUGGGGGCGGCAUUUCAGUGAAGUCAUGCUGUCUAAUGGUACCACUCCCAGAGGCAUUCACUAUGACUGCGGGUUGCACCGCUGGAUGAAAUUCUCAUAUGUCUGUACGCCCAAAGAUUGCAAGCUGUCUCACUUGUAUACCGGGUAGUGAUCAGUUCGGGACUACUAGCUGUAUU
rnacentral:rRNA from 1 species